rnacentral:rRNA from 1 species
ACGCUCGACACCUACGGGAGCAGCAGUGGGGAAUAUUGCACAAUGGGGGAAACCCUGAUGCAGCGACGCCGCGUGGAGGAAGAAGGUCUUCGGAUUGUAAACUCCUGUUGUUGGGGAAAAAGAGGAUGGUACCCAACAAGGAAGUGACGGCUAACUACGUGCCAGAAGCCGCGGUAAUCUGAGCGGGCUGGCAAGGC